rnacentral:lncRNA from 1 species
AACCUUUAAAAAAAAUUUUUUUUGUAUAAAAAUGUUUAUUGACUAGACAAGUCUCAUAUAACUAAUUACACUGCUUGUUAUAAUUGUGUGGUGAGCAGAAAAAUGUAAAUUUAGUUUUAUUCAACAAACUAACAUCCAUGUUUUUGUCCCUUUUCUUCCUCUUUUUUCUUUUCUUUUAUUUUUCUUCUUCUCGUUAAGUAGGAUAAGUUCUGAGCGUUGAAAAGAAAAGUCUAGAGAUGCAGCCAGAUCUCGGCGAAGCAAAGAGUCUAAAGUAUUUUAUGAGCUUGCUCAUCAGUUGCCACUUCCCCAUAAUGUGAGCUCACAUCUUGAUAAGGCUUCUGUUAUGAGGCUUACCAUCAAUUAUUUGCGUGUGAGAAAACUUCUGGAUGCUGGUGAUCUGGAUAUUGAAGAUGAAAUGAAAGCACAGAUGAACUGCUUUUAUUUGAAGGCCCUGGAUGCCUUUGUUACGGUGCUCACUGAUGACAGUGACAUGAUUUACAUUUCUGUCAGGGAUGAUUUUUAUCCAAGACGCUGCCCAGACACCCGAUCUCCAUGUACUAUUUAAUUUCCUUUAUUCUCGUCUUGGCUCCAUUCCGGGACGGAGAGGAAAACAGGUGCCUGAGAGCGGCCGCGGUGGGACCCGCAAACCCACAGGCAGGACCCGGCUCCCCUCCUGCUCUGGCCGGCAGGUCCUUCCUUAACCUUUUAUAGGAGCCAACACAGUGCACAUUCACUAUGCACUGGGCAGUUACUGUCCUAAUUAAGUAUUCAUAAGUACUGUAUUAUAAUCAUUUUCCAGGUAAGGAAACAGAG